CUUGCCUUGUUCAUCUUUGUGUCCCUAGGACGUAGCAGCCAGCUGUGUACUCGAUGAAUAUCAAUUGACCCAUCCAUGGGGAGCAUCCUUCCAGAUCGUCGUUUAACUCUGACUUCAUAGAGUUCAGCUCAGUAGCCACCUCCCACAGGCCCUUUUCCUCGGUUACCACCAGCCCACGUAGAGCCAUGACAGUGAGGUGCAGCGAAACUACAUUAUACAGCUUCCACUUUGGAAGGGCCUGCAAGUUCUGGCUUUUCUCCCUAUCUUUUCAUUCUUGACAAAACUGGUUAAUGGAGAGAUACUCUCUGCUUUGUAAACCACAAUUAUGUUGGAAAUAAAACUCAGUAAAAGGUGC